rnacentral:rRNA from 1 species
UGGGGAAUUUUGCACAAUGGGGGAAACCCUGAUGCAGCGACGCCGCGUGAUUUAGAAGGCCUUCGGGUUGUAAAAAUCUUUUCUAUGGGAAGAAAAUGACAGUACCAUAGGAAUAAGGACCGGCUAAUUACGUGCCAGCAGCCGCGGUAAUACGUAAGGUCCGAGCGUUGUCCGGAAUCAUUGGGCGUAAAGGGUACGUAGGCGGGUAAGCAAGUUAGAAGUGAAAUCCUGUAGCUCAACUACAGUAAGCUUUUAAAACUGCUCAUCUUGAGAUAGGGAAGGGAAAGUGGAAUUCCGAGUGUAGCGGUGAAAUGCGCAGAUAUUAGGAGGAAUACCGGUGGCGAAGGCGACUUUCUGGCCAUAACCUGACGCUGAGGUACGAAAGCGUGGGUAGCAAACAGG